rnacentral:rRNA from 1 species
UACGGGGGGGGCAAGCGUUGUUCGGAUUUACUGGGCGUAAAGGGCGCGUAGGCGGCCAUCGCAAGUCAAUUGUGAAAUCUCCGGGCUUAACUCGGAAAGGUCAACUGAUACUGUGCGACUAGAGUGCAGAAGGGGCAACUGGAAUUCUCGGUGUAGCGGUGAAAUGCGCAGAUAUCAGGUGGAACACCGAUGGCGAAGGCAGUGAUCUGGGCCAGUACUGACGCUGAGGAGCGAAAGCGUGGGGAGCAAACAGG